rnacentral:rRNA from 1 species
GACGAACGCUGGCGGCGUGCUUAACACAUGCAAGUCGAGCGGUAAGGCCCUUUCGGGGUACGACGAGCGGCGAACGGGUGAGUAACACGUGGGUGACCUGCCCUUAGCUCUGGGAUAAGCCUGGGAAACUGGGUCGUAAUACCGGAUAUGACUCCAUGACGCAUGUUGUGGGGUGGAAAGCCUUGUGCGGCUAGGGAUGGGCCCGCGGCCUAUCAGCUUGUUGGUGGGGUGAGGCCUACCAAGGCGACGACGGGUAGCCGGCCUGAGAGGGCGACCGGCCACACUGGGACUGAGACACGGCCCAGACUCCUACGGGAGGCAGCAGUGGGGAAUCUUGCGCAAUGGGCGAAAGCCUGACGCAGCGACGCCGCGUGAGGGAUGACGGCCUUC